UACGUAGGGCGCGAGCGUUGUCCGGAAUUAUUGGGCGUAAAGAGCUCGUAGGUGGUUGGUCGCGUCUGCCGUGAAAACCCAUGGCUUAACUGUGGGCUUGCGGUGGAUACGGGCCGACUUGAGGUAGGUAGGGGAGAAUGGAAUUCCCGGUGUAGCGGUGAAAUGCGCAGAUAUCGGGAGGAACACCGAUGGCGAAGGCAGAUCUCUGGGCCGUAACUGACGCUGAGGAGCGAAAGCAUGGGGAGCGAACAGG
rnacentral:rRNA from 1 species